CCGGCCGCCGAGUUCGGUCUGUCCCGAGCUGGGUCCCUGAGGAGAAUGGCUGGGGAUUUUCUUCUAUUUUUUCUUUUUUUUUUUAUCUUUUUAGACUUUUUUCUUUCAUUAUUUAUAUUUUUCCUUUUAAAGAAAGCUUGUUGUCUUCAAGCUUUCAAAACCCCGGCGCAAGGCCAGGGGGAUGUUCGCGGGACGGUGGCCAUGAGUCAGCCGUGGCGAAAGGAAGAGCCAAGCUCGGGGCAGAAGCGAGUGCGAAGCGCGUCCCCCACCCUUCUCCCCCACGGACCGCGGCUCCUCAGCCUCCUUGGUGCAGUGGUUCUUAACAGUUCAACAGUUCUCUAUCAUAAUUGUGAAAUGUUUAGGACCACUUGACCAGGGAGGCCCCGGCAUCGGGCCGGCAGCGGCGGACGAGCGAGCCCUCUGGCGCCGCCGGAGACCAGAAGCGCCGGCGCUAGAGACAGGCCCGGGCCUCGGCCACAGCGGGGGACUCGCCGGGCCGGGCGCGGGGAGGGGUGCGGCCCCGGCGCCGAAGGGAGCUGCCAGGGCUGGGAGGCGAGGAGGAGGGGGCGGUGGCCGGGCCGGGCUGACGGACCCACCGCUUGCCGUGGUGCCCGCUCACGGGGCGGCACAGGAGUAAUGUCAGUGCAAGCACUUAAAGUUACUUCAUGUACUGUGGGAACUGAGUUUCAGUAUCUUAAAAGGAACAGGUAGGAUAACUUCUGCUGGCUGUGUUUGCGGGAGGCUGCAACGCUUAGUGCUUAACCCAUUUAUUCUGUCCUUUAUUCCCCCGAUAUAUUCAUAUACACAGAUUAAAAAAAAGAAAAAAUAAUGAGAUUGCCUUUGACUCUCUAGGCUGCAUUCUUCAGAGGCUUCCCACCUCUCUGGUCAUAUGUGCAAUAUACUCAGUAAUAGUAUGGGGUUUUUUUGAGUGUCCUUUUAUUUAGGACAGUGUAGCCUUUAUGCUCUGCUAUUUUAUAGUGUAUUUUCCAUGUAUAUGCCUAUUGCAGGCAGUUAAAGGAUUAUCUGGACUUUCUGUUCUGCCUUCGUCAGAAGGAUGUCGGUGUGUGGUUGUAAGACUGUUGCAUUGAUGGCCUGGUUUGCAGGCCUGUGGACUUAAUCAGUUGGAUGGACCUUAUCUAAAAUGCUGUAUUUUUUUAAGAAUACAGCUGAAGAAUUUGGGAUCUUUAAAAAUAGGAGGAAAAAAAAUCUGGAAAUGGCAAUUCUUCAAAAAACAUUUUUUUUCUUGUGGAAGUGUAGCUUUGUAAAUGAUAAGUUCUUCCUACUUCAUGCUCAUUCUUCUUACCCCAGCUAUCAAAUGGGACUGGGAAAGUGGUGGGUUUAGCAAACAAGCAAAAAAAAAAAACUUGCAUAGAGCAGGCAACAGACUAAUUCAUAAAAUGUAAUUCUACUGCUUUAAAUUUAACCAGGGAAAAUUAGUGAGCCUGCAUGUGUGUAUGUUUUAAACUUUUAAAAACCCAACAAGGUGUGUAUAUGUUUUCUUACCAUCACUUCUGUGGUAUUGUUUUUCUCAAAAAUACGCCAUCUGGCAUGAGCACGUGGUUCAUGAGUAUAUUUGUAGGUAAUUCUAGCCUCACUGAAAUCAAGAAGAGUCCUGAUGUUGCUUGCAAUUGAGCUGUGAUCAGAAGAAGAGCUUCCAGGAGAAAUAUUUGAAGAGUAGACAAGCCUGAUAUGUAAAAAGGAUUCUUGGAGACAGCCUAGGAAAAGCAUGCUUUUUACCUACUGUUGUAACUCAGAACAAGUUAGGCAAGGUUAAUUACAGCAUAAUAGGGUUUAAUUUAGCUGGGAAUGAGGGUAUGGUGGCUGCUAGCAGUGUUUCUCAAACUGCGAGGCUGGCCUCCUUAGGCAAGCUUACACAAGCCCAAGGCAAAUGGAAAAACACACUCUGUCUGGGACUUGGCAAAGGUGGAACCCCAGCAUCUAUUAAUGAUGAUUCCUCAUUUGCCAAGGCAAAAAUUGAAAUACUCUCCCAAGGAAAAGAUUAACAACCUGUCCCACUUAAGGGUCUGAUGAUUCAAUACCAUUCUGUCUGGGUUCUAAUAUAUGGCACUCAUUAUCACAGUCUGAGCACCUCCCAAAUAUUUAAAAAGAAAUAACAGUAGUGUUCUGUACACAGAGUUCUCAUUAAUUUUGGUGGGUGUUGUGAAUGUUUAAACAGAGCAGAGCCCUGAAGAGUUGAAAAACUUGCAGAACACACUGUGAGUUAUAUCUGCAGCUGGCUUGAAUCGGUGCAAUCAUGCUGACUUGAAUGGAGUUACAAUGAUUUACACCAGCUGGGAUCUGACCGAGUGUUUUUCUCUCUUGCCCCAUCUCCAGUUGAUGAGCCUGAUCCUUUCUGGCUGCAUCCAAGCCAUCCAUGGGCAUCAAUGGGAACAUGAACUGUAUGAAGUAGGGUUUCCUAUUUCCAGGGAGUUCUUUUUGCUCAUCUUAGUACAGCUCAAGAUGAUGCAAGUGUUGUCUUUUUUUUCCCUAUGUUUGAGUGCAGUAUACCCUGAAAAAGUUUGAAAAAAACCCUGUCUGAUAGGGAUAAUAAAGGAGUUCUGUUUGAGGAAUAGCAUCAGUCAUUCUGGAAGAGCAAACCUGCGGGGGAGUUCUGCUUACACAAAUACGAGACCUUGAUGUUUCUGUACUGGAUUGUCCAUGUCAAGACAAACCUCUACCAAUCACUUGUAGAAACUGAUGCUUCAUUAUAAUCCAUGGUUGAAACUGGAAA